GAUGAAGAACGCAGCGAAAUGCGAUAAGUAGUGUGAAUUGCAGACUUUAGUGAAUCAUCGAAUCUUUGAACGCACAUUGCGCCCCUUGGUAUUCCAUUGGGCAUGCCUGUUCGAGCGUCAUUUACAUCCUCAAGCUCAUGCUUGGUGUUGGGCGUCUGUCCGCGCUUUCGGCGCGGACUCGCCCCAAAUCCAUUGGCAGCGGCUCCGCCGGCUUCUCGCGCAGCACCUUGCGAUCUUGAAGGCUUUCGGCGGGCUCGCGUCCAUCAAGUAACCCCCAAUUUUGACCUCGAAUCAGGUAGGGAUACCCGCUGAACUUAAGCAUAUCAAUAAGCGGAGGA
rnacentral:misc_RNA from 1 species